UCGGCUAACUAAAGCAAGAAUGAAAUUUAAUGGAAGGAUACAGCUAAGUCACAGAGAAGACCAAGAACUAGUCUUGGAAGAAGACAGGAACUAAGCCAGUUCUGGAGGAGCAGAAACAGAGUUCGUGAAGUAAGUCCUUAAAAUCACAUCUGUUCACCUUAUGUGACGGGAAGGAGAGGCGACUUCUGAAGCAGGGUGAUUGAAAUGGAAAUACAUUCAAAUAAAUGGACUCUGGAGCUCCACUUUGUUCUAAAUAACCUCUACUGUAAUAACAUCCAACUGCUUUCUUCAUAAGAAGACAGGAAAGUAUAAUGAAAACUAUAUGGAGAAGGAUAAACUUAAAGAAAUACAAAAUACUACUGUGAAAGUCUGGCUUCUUCAAAACCAGGAUGUGGUCUCUUGGGUCUGUCUUGGUGCUAUUCUGAAACUUGUACUUUGUGGUGCCCCCAGUAUAUGGACAGUUUUUCCAGAUAUUUGGCUUUACCAGUAAACAAAUUCUGAUACCAAGGAUCUCAUGUCUAACAGAAUUCAAGUUUUUCAGCUGCUUCAAAACCAUUAAUUAGUGAAGAAGUGUAUCCUGAAUGCAGUAAUUUCCCAAUGAAAACCACAUGUAUCAGACUGAAUGGAUGCAAGCUGAUCAAAAUACAAUGUUGUGUUUCCCAUAAUCAUGGCAGAUUAUUUGUCUCUCCACAGAAAGCGUUAUUACUUUGCAGUGCUCAACAGGGGUUGAUGGGCAACCCUGAUGUUUCCCCUUGGCUUCACUGCCUCACGGAUGGACUUCUUCAUUAAAGCCGGCACCACACUUCUCCUGGUUUAAUGGGGAUAAAUAUAUCUACUCAAAGAGGGAAAACACUUUCCUAUCCAUGAAGAUAUUAUAUCCAAGAGACAAAAGGAAAACCUGUUAAUUGAGAAUCUCACUUUGGUUUAAUUACACAGAUGCUAAAAUAAUGUAACUGAAGAUCCUUAAAAAUAUAAUUAUCCACUAUGCAAUGCUUGAGAGCAUGUUUUA